rnacentral:lncRNA from 1 species
AAACCAUAAAAUUUAUCACAAUCAACAUCCUCAAUAGAGGUUAAGGACUCCUCUACCCUACCCCUCAUGCAUAAGCCCGUAUUGAAGGUUAUUAUCUCUCUUACCUUAGAUUUCUCCAACAAAAUUCUUCAAAGCUCUUUCAGUGGAUGCUCUUCCUUGCCCUAGCCCUUGGCUCUUCCUCUUUCCACCAAAUUUUGAUUUUACGUAUGAAAACUCUCACAACUCCUUAUUAACC